rnacentral:rRNA from 1 species
AGAGACAGCAGCCGCCGCGGUAAUACGUAGGUGGCAAGCGUUGUCCGGAAUUAUUGGGCGUAAAGGGCUCGCAGGCGGUUUCUUAAGUCUGAUGUGAAAGCCCCCGGCUCAACCGGGGAGGGUCAUUGGAAACUGGGAACCUUGAGUGCAGAAGAGGAGAGUGGAAUUCCACGUGUAGCGGUGAAAUGCGUAGAGAUGUGGAGGAACACCAGUGGCGAAGGCGACUCUCUGGUCUGUAACUGACGCUGAGGAGCGAAAGCGUGGGGAGCGAACAGGAUUAGAUACCCCCGUAGUCCCUGUCUCUUAUAC